rnacentral:rRNA from 1 species
AAAAAAGGUAAGCUACUAAGAGCGAAUGGUGGAUGCCUUGACUGGUAAAGGCGAUGAAGGACGUACUAGACUGCGAUAAGCUACGGGGAGCUGUCAAGAAGCUUUGAUCCGUAGAUUUCCGAAUGGGGCAACCCAAUGUAUAGAGAUAUACAUUACCUAUAUAGGAGCGAACGAGGGGAAUUGAAACAUCUUAGUACCCUCAGGAAAAGAAAUCAAUAGAGAUUGCGUCAGUAGCGGCGAGCGAAAGCGCAAGAGGGCAAACCCAGUGCUUGCACUGGGGGUUGUAGGACUGCAAUGUGCAAGAGGUAAGUUUAGCAGAACAUUCUGGAAAGUAUAACCAUAGAGGGUGAUAGUCCCGUAUGCGAAAAACAAACCUUAGCUAGCAGUAUCCUGAGUAGGGCGGGACACGAGGAAUCCUGUCUGAAUCCGGGUCGACCACGAUCCAACCCUAAAUACUAAUACCAGAUCGAUAGUGCACAAGUACCGUGAGGGAAAGGUGAAAAGAACUGAGGUGAUCAGAGUGAAAUAGAACCUGAAACCAUUUGCUUACAAUCAUUCAGAGCCCUAUGUAGGAAUACAGGGUGAUGGACUGCCUUUUGCAUAAUGAGCCUGCGAGUUGUGGUGUCUGGCAAGGUUAAGCAAACGCGAAGCCGUAGCGAAAGCGAGUCUGAAUAGGGCGCUUAGUCAGAUGCUGCAGACCCGAAACGAAGUGAUCUAUCCAUGAGCAAGUUGAAGCUAGUGUAAGAACUAGUGGAGGACUGAACCCAUAGGCGUUGAAAAGCCCCGGGAUGACUUGUGGAUAGGGGUGAAAGGCCAAUCAAACUUCGUGAUAGCUGGUUCUCUCCGAAAUAUAUUUAGGUAUAGCGUUGUGUCGUAAUAUAAGGGGGUAGAGCACUGAAUGGGCUAGGGCAUACACCAAUGUACCAAACCCUAUCAAACUCCGAAUACCUUAUAUGUAAUCACAGCAGUCAGGCGGCGAGUGAUAAAAUCCGUCGUCAAGAGGGAAACAACCCAGACUACCAGCUAAGGUCCCUAAAUCUUACUUAAGUGGAAAACGAUGUGAAGUUACUUAAACAACCAGGAGGUUGGCUUAGAAGCAGCCAUCCUUUAAAGAAAGCGUAAUAGCUCACUGGUCUAGUGAUUUUGCGCGGAAAAUAUAACGGGGCUAAAGUAAGUACCGAAGCUGUAGACUUGCACACAACUUAGAUUAUUUAAGUUUAGAAUAUGAGAAACUAAGUUAUAUGUUUAGUUAUAUUUUUACUGAUUUUUAUAGAGUAAAGAUAGAAAUAAAACUUAGUAAAAUCAGUAAAAAUAUUCUUAGACUAAAGUUAAGUAGUUUAAGUUGUGUGCAAGUGGUAGGAGAGCGUUCUAUUUGCGUCGAAGGUAUACCGGUAAGGAGUGCUGGAGCGAAUAGAAGUGAGCAUGCAGGCAUGAGUAGCGAUAAUUAAUGUGAGAAUCAUUAACGCCGUAAACCCAAGGUUUCCUACGCGAUGCUCGUCAUCGUAGGGUUAGUCGGGUCCUAAGUCGAGUCCGAAAGGGGUAGACGAUGGCAAAUUGGUUAAUAUUCCAAUACCAACAUUAGUGUGCGAUGGAAGGACGCUUAGGGCUAAGGGGGCUAGCGGAUGGAAGUGCU